AAUUCGAUGCAACGCGAAGAACCUUACCUGGGUUUGACAUACACCGGAGAGCUGCAGAUAUGUAGCCCCUUUUAGUCGGUGUACAGGUGGUGCAUGGCUGUCGUCAGCUCGUGUCGUGAGAUGUUGGGUUAAGUCCCGCAACGAGCGCAACCCUCGUCCUAUGUUGCCAGCACGUAAUGGUGGGGACUCAUAGGAGACUGCCG
rnacentral:rRNA from 1 species